UACGGGGGGGGCAAGCGUUGUUCGGAAUUACUGGGCGUAAAGGGCUCGUAGGCGGCCAACUAAGUCAGACGUGAAAUCCCUCGGCUUAACCGGGGAACUGCGUCUGAUACUGGUUGGCUUGAAUCCGGGAGAGGGAUGUGGAAUUCCAGGUGUAGCGGUGAAAUGCGUAGAUAUCUGGAGGAACACCGGUGGCGAAGGCGGCCUUCUGGACGGAUACUGACGCUGAGACGCGAAAGCGUGGGGAGCAAACAGG
rnacentral:rRNA from 1 species